AGGUGGCCUCUGCGCAGGCGCAGAGAGGAGCGAGCGACUCCUGCGCAAGCGCAGAGUGAAGGGCCGGGAACAGUGGAGGGUGCGAGGAAGACAAUGGGGGAGGACCCUGAGGCGGCCUCUGUGAGCCGACAGGAACACGUGGUCGAUCAGAGAGAGACUCGAGGUUCGUGAACGGAUGGGGAGGACCCUGAAAAGCACUGUGGAAUACAGGUUUCUAGUAACUUCAAAAUCACAUCAUUUGGACUGGGUAAGAAUUGCUGAAACUUUAAUGAAAAGACUGACUGGCUUAUAAAACUGCUAACCCAAAUAGAAUAAAAAUUAAUUGAAUACCGAGGAAAUGCUUCACCAGGUUUGCAUACUUAAUCAGCCUAUACUGAAAUUGUUUAGAUAUACAAUUUGAAUGAACUCCAUGGUCUAAGUCAAAUUACCUGUGAUAACCCAUCAGUUAUCCAUGCUAUGUGCCCAAUUUGGAGAAACAACUGGCACCCAAGAGGACAUAAGUCCGAUGUUAAGCAUGGACUCAUGGAGAACCAAGAUGGCUGCCUUGUCCUUCGUGAGUCCUUAAAGCUUUUGUUAUUAAAAGUUAUGCAUUCCAUGACUCAUCCUGGAAAAGAUAAAAUGAUCCAAAUUAAAUAUGUUGGUGUGGUGACUUACAGAUUGUUAAAAUAGUUUAUAAACAAUGUUUAGUUUGUCAAACCCAUACUCCUGGGAAGUCAAUCAAAGCUUCAUGUACAUUUGGCUACCUGAUGAGGCAUUUAAACAUUUAUAAAGGGGUUUCAUUCAGUUGUCAUUUUCAAUGUAUGUGUUCUGGUUGUACUAAAGCUUUCCCAUGCAGGAGGGCUAAUGUUAUAACAGUAGAUUACUAUGUAUCAGUGUAUUUUCACCAGGUAAAGAGCUUUUUAUGGUUCACUGAGGACAAUCAACCCCUUCACAAUCUAGAACCCAAAGAUGGGAUCUUCUGAGAACAUCAGAGAAACGCUGCCCUUGGCAUCAUCACUGCAACAAAACAUCAGGAUCUUGAACCUUGGGGUCAUAAUCUCACAACUGAGCAGGGUCACUCUUGGAACUCUACAUCCAUUGAAACCCUUAAGGUAAAGCUAAUCAGGGAAGUUUCUCCCCAGAAGAAGAUGGCAUCCUUGAUGUGAGCAGCUCUUUCUGAAGAUCAUGGAUCAAGACUUCUUACUAUCAUGAGACUCUUAUCUUUGAAUGUUUUUCCGUUGCUUCCGCCUCUGUGAACAACAGAAGUGAGAAGGGGGUCUGUUUUGUGCACUUAUGGGGUAUACUUUUAUUUGUGAAGGGCUUUGCAGCCAGCUUUAUACAUGGAUAAUCUUAUAACUUGAUAGAUAAAGAUGAAGGCCCAGUGUAUCAUAGGUGAGAAACUUCAAUGGUACAUAUGGUGCCUCAUAAUCAUUCAGAAGCAGAACAUUGGUUCACUCCUCUUAACCCACAGCAUGGGUUAAAGAGACCAUUGCCAAGAGGCCUUCCCUCUUCUAGAAGGGCAUCAUUUGUUAGGUCCUUUUUCCAUGGUUUGGAAUUAAAAAGGCAAUGACUAGAAACAUAUCCCUCAUGGUAGACUCUGUAGCAGAUUCUACUGUAAAGGCUACACAACAGAUGUUAAAUUCUCUUGUGAAAGUUAUGCUAAAAAAUAGAAUUGGCUAAACAGGAAAGUACCUGUGCAGAUGCUGGCACUUAAGGCCUAUGGAGAAAACAUCAGGUGUUAUAGAGAGUCUGUUGUAGGGAAUUAACGAAAAGACCACUGAGUUAAGUCAAAGAAUGGUCUAUUUGAGUUUAGGUGGUCUGGUUUAUGGGGACCCUGGCUAAGGAGCAUACUCCAAAUUCUUGGUGUUAACCCUCUCAGUAGUCAUAAGAAUAGUCUCCCUGGUGCACUGUAUUCUCUCAAAGGUUUUAAAUGUUUGCAUGAAGCCAUCUUUAGAACGUCAGAUGGUCUCUCUUCAACUGGAAUGACAAGAGCUGAAAGAAAUGUGUGACCACGAGGACACCGAAACCGAUGAGUGACAUGCUGAGACUGGAAAUCCAAAAUGAUAGUAACGGAGAGUGGCGCUAACAUCCUAAGUUUUGGUCACACUCUUGCCUAAGUGACAACCUGACAAAGGGGGAAUUUUUUAAACAAAAUGAUGGGAGGCCAUUGUUUUGGACUGAGCACUAGGUCCCAACAGACCAAACCGAACCAAAAUGGCAUCAUUCGUGCUAAAUGUGACAUAAUCGAAUUAAGACUUUAAGGAAACACAUGGGUCCUAGAAUAGACCAGGUUUUGUUUUUCUCUUGCAAACAGGACUUUCCAGCAUAAGGUGGUAUCCUCAACUCAGUCCUUGUUCCUACCUUUGCAAAACUCACUGUUCUGCUUCCUAGUGGGUUUCAAGACCAAUGGUGACAGUGACAUCAAUAACUCAAGUUUCGAUCAAUCUCUCAAAACUGAUAAAAUGACCAAAAAGGGGGAAUUGUUAAAGCGAACUAAAUAUGGCCUGAGAAGGACUCCGUACUUCUGUAUUGGAGUCCCUGUGAACAAACUGAGCCUAACUUAAUAGGUAGACAAGAUUGAAAACCUAAAUUAGGAGUAUGUACCUGUCACAAUUGCUGAGUCUCGGCCAGUCCCAGCAGCCGUACUUCAAUCACUCAUACACUGCUGAAUGUUCAAACUGUGUGUAAAUAAGGCAAAUGCCAACCUGUAACUAAUCCAGGUGUUUCUCUACCUCACUUCCCUUUUUUUGUCUAUAAAUCUUCCACCACGUGGCUGCACUGGAGUCUCUCUGAAUCUGCUGUAAUUCUGGGGGCUGCCCGAUGUGCAAAUCAUUCAUUGCUCAAUUAAACUCCUUUAAAUUUAAUUCAGCUGAAGUUUUCUUUUAACAAGAGUGAGAUAAGAAUCUGUGUUCUUAUCCCCCAGAAUGGACAAAUCAGUAGCGUUCCUUGUCAUUCUUUUGUGGCUGGUUUCACGUAAAUAUUUUGUGUGUAUGAUAAUAGAAUUUGAUUUUAAUGAAUAUACUUUAAAAGCAACUUUUUUUUUAUUCUUCCUCACCAUCGAAGAUGGAGAAAAAUAAGAAGGGCUGUCUUGCGGUUCCAUUUCUUUUGUGGAUAGUAAGAAGCGCUGUCUUCUGGUUCCGUUUUUUUUUUCUGGAUAGUAAGGAUGUUUAUCUUACUCUGUCUUCAUUGUCCUCAAACCUCAAGUAGUCACUAAUACCCUGGCUAUGACAGCUUUUAUCGUAGUGUUAAAUGGCAGAUUUAUUUACUUGGCAAACAUUGUCAAGUCUCAGAAAAAUUACCCCAUGGUCUUGCCUUCUUCCCUCGUGAAUUGCCUUCCACUGAUGGAGAGGAUUUGAUCUGUUCCCUGCUCAUCAAUUUUUCUAGCUUCUUUGGGAUGUCCGCUCUGCAUAUCUACUAAGGAAUUAAGAAAUAAUGGCUUCAGCAAGAAACAAGGCAGGAAAGUGCAGUGACAUGAGGACCAUACAGGGAAGGAGCUGUCCCCAAAGGUGAGAAUGGCCCUGGACAAGGGUUCUUGCUGUGACUUCAC
rnacentral:lncRNA from 1 species